CCUACGGGUGGCAGCAGUGAGGAAUAUUGGUCAAUGGGCUUACGCCUGAACCAGCCAAGUCGCGUGAGGGAAGACUGCUCUAUGGGUUGUAAACCUCUUUUGUCAGGGACGAAGCACGUGACGGUACCUGACGAAUAAGCCACGGCUAACUACGUUACAGCAGCGGCGGUAAUACGUCGGUGGCACGCGUUAUCCGGAUUUAUGGGGUGUAAAGGGCGGGUAGGCGGGAAUGCAAGUCAGAUGUGAAAACUAUGGGCGCAACCCAUAGCCUGCAUUUGACACUGUAUUUCGUGAGUGCUGGAGAGGCAAGCGGAAUUCCGUGUGUAGCGGUGAAAUGCGUAGAUAUACGGAGGAACACCAGUGGCGAAGGCGGAUUGCUGGACAGUAACUGACGCUGAGGCGCGAAAGCGUGGGGAGCAAACAGGAUUAGAUACCCGUGUAGUC
rnacentral:rRNA from 1 species